UACGAAGGGUGCAAGCGUUACUCGGAAUUACUGGGCGUAAAGCGUGCGUAGGUGGUUUCUUAAGUCCGUUGUGAAAGCCCUGGGCUCAACCUGGGAAUGGCAGUGGAUACUGGGAAGCUAGAGUGCGGUAGAGGAUGGUGGAAUUCCCGGUGUAGCGGUGAAAUGCGUAGAGAUCGGGAGGAACAUCAGUGGCGAAGGCGGCCAUCUGGACCAGCACUGACACUGAGGCACGAAAGCGUGGGUAGCAAACAGG
rnacentral:rRNA from 1 species